rnacentral:rRNA from 1 species
AUUGAACGCUGGCGGCAGGCCUAACACAUGCAAGUCGAGCGGAUGAAGAGAGCUUGCUCCUUGAUUCAGGUGCGGACUGGUGAGUAAUGCCUAGGAAUCUGCCUGUUAAUGUUUUAUAACGGCCUAACACGGGCACUAAUACCGCAUACGUGCUUAGGGCGUAAGUGUGGGAGCUUCGGACCUUACGCUCUCGCAUGAUCCUAGGUCGGAUUAUCUAGUUGGUGGGGUAAAGGCCUACCAAGGCGACGAUCCGUAACUGGUCUGAGAGGAUGAUCAGUCACACUGGAACUGAGACACGGUCCAGACUCCUACGGGAGGCAGCAGUGGGGAAUAUUGGACAAUGGGCGAAAGCCUGAUCCAGCCAUGCCGCGUGUGUGAAGAAGGUCUUCGGAUUGUAAAGCCCUUUAAGUUGGGAGGAAGGGCAGUAAGUUAAUACCCUGCUGUUUUGACGUUACCAAAAGAAUAAGCACCGGCUAACUUCGUG